UUACAGCUUAAUUGUUUAACUACCCUGCAUUUGAACUACGUUUUGUUUUUUACACAUCUUCCGUUUCUGCACUCAAUUUGCUUUUGUAAUCAAUUGCCACAAUAAUUGGAAUGAGGCACAGAUCAAUACAACAAAUUAAUCUUUCAAAAUAAUAAAUUAAGAAAAACCAAAAAUCACAAAAUAAGAAAAACAAAAACAUAAUGAAAAUGAUACUACUACCAGUACUCACUUGUUUUUUUUAACCAGAAAUCAAGUUGUAUAUAUUUCGUUGACAGUUGACCGUGUGCUCAUCCAGCAUAAAAUCCCACAAACUGCCUAAAAUCAAAAUGAUCUUCUUUUUUAAUUCAUUUCAUGUGUGGAUGGAGGCAAGCAUUAAAAUCUCAGAUCUAAAAAUGAGAAGAAAAAAAACUGCUUUUGUCUUUGCUGUUUUUUUUAGUUUUAUUUGUAUUGUUUAUGGGAGGAGUGGAGCAUAGGGAGAGGAAGAUUUUUUUAUUUAUAGUUGUUAUUUUAAGAGGAUUUAAUUGAGGAAGCCGACACCAACACCACCAACAACCAACCAACUAUCAUCAUCAAUAUGGAUUCAUCAAAAGCCAUCAACAACAAUAUCAUGUCGCAGCAUUUUUUUAUGCAUUUGAAGAUUGUAGCAGCCACGUAUCCAAACAUAAAACGGAAGAUAUAAACAAAUAUAGAUGGCGUACAAUGGCUAAGAAGGCGGACGAAAUGCCAUGAACAAUGGAACCAAAGAAACCUAGAACAAAUUGCAAACAAAUUAACACAUUAAUAUUUCAAUCAAGGAAAAGUGCUAUAAUUGGCUGCUCCGAAUCUUAUAUACCCUUCAUUAUACCCAUUAUUUUAUAAAAAAUUUAA